rnacentral:ribozyme from 14 species
UUUUUUUUUUUUUUUUUUUUUUUUAUUUUUUUUUUUAUAAAUUGGCACUAC